GGAGAGGUGGCUGAGUGGUUGAAAGCGGUAGAUUGCUAAUCUGUUGUAUGUUUAUUUCACAUACCGAGGGUUCGAAUCCCUUCCUCUCCU
rnacentral:tRNA from 1 species